CCCUGGCGACGAGUGGCGAACGGGUGAGUAAUACAUCGGAACAUAUCCAGUAGCGGGGGAUAACCUAUCGAAAGAUUGGCUAAUACCGCAUACGAUCUACGGAUGAAAGCAGGGGACCGCAAGGCCUUGCACUAUUGGAGUGGCCGAUGUCAGAUUAGCUAGUUGGUGGGGUAAAAGCCUACCAAGGCGACGAUCUGUAGCUGGUCUGAGAGGACGAUCAGCCACACUGGAACUGAGACACGGUCCAGACUCCUACGGGAGGCAGCAGUGGGGAAUUUUGGACAAUGGGCGCAAGCCUGAUCCAGCCAUGCCGCGUGAGUGAAGAAGGCCUUCGGGUUGUAAAGCUCUUUCGGUGAAGACGAAACGGUUAGUGUUAAUAACACUGACUAAUGACGGUACUCACAGAAGAAGCGCCGGCUAACUACGUGCCAGCAGCCGCGGUAAUACGUAGGGUGCAGGCGUUAAUCGGAAUUACUGGGCGUAAAGCGUGCGC
rnacentral:rRNA from 1 species